AUUGUAGAAAGAACGUGCUGCAAUACCCAAGUGCAAUGCUUUGGAGAAGAAGGGGACAGAGGAGCCGAUGGGGGGCCUGGGAGCAAGGGAGAGAAGGGUCCUGGUGGAUUUCUGGGCCAUCCUGGUCAAAUCGGAGCACCGGGAGAACGAGGCUCCCAGGGUCUCCCUGGACCCCGAGGGGAGGAAGGAUGCCCAGGUCUGAGGGGCCCUAAGGUGAG